rnacentral:rRNA from 1 species
CAGGACGAACGCUGGCGGCGUGCUUCAUACAUGCAAGUCGAACGAGAAGCUCACUUCGGUGAGUGGAAAGUGGCGGACGGGUGAGUAAUGUGUAGAGAAUCUGCCCUAGAGUGGGGGAUAGCAGUUGGAAACGACUAUUAAUACCCCAUAUGCGCGUAGCUGAGAUGCUAUUCGUGAAAACUCCGGUGCUCUGGGAUGAGUCUGCAUCUGAUUAGCUAGUAGGCGGUGUAAUGGACCACCUAGGCUACGAUCAGUAGCUGGUUUGAGAGGAUGAUCAGCCACAAUGGGACUGAGACACGGCCCAUACUCCUACGGGAGGCAGCAGUAGGGAAUUUUGCGCAAUGGGGGAAACCCUGAACCGCAGCAACGCCGCGUGAAUGAAGAAGCCCUUCGGGGUGUAAAGUUCUGUCAGUGGGGACGAAACUUGACGGUACCCACAGAGGAAGCAUCGGCUAACUCCGUGCCAGCCGCCGC